AUAUCAGUAAGCGGAGGAAAAGAAACUAACAAGGAUUCCCCCAGUAGCGGCGAGCGAACAGGGACGAGCCCAGGUUUGGAAUCGAACAAUGUAAAGUUGGACGAAUUGUAGUCUGGACAGCGGCGACGAGCGAGCGAGGGCAGGCCAUUGAGCGUUCUGGAAGGGACGGCCGAAGAGGGUGAGAGCCCCGUGGAAUGGCAGGCAGGGCACGUGGAGCGCGGGCUGGAAGAGUCGGGUUGCUUGGGAAUGCAGUCCAAAGGGGGUGGUAAACUCCAUCCAAGGCUAAAUACGGGCAGGAGACCGAUAGCGAACAAGUACCGUGAGGGAAAGAUGAAAAGCACCCUGGAAAGGGAGUGAAAAGUGC
rnacentral:rRNA from 1 species